rnacentral:tRNA from 1 species
GGCUUUAUAUUCAUAUUAAAUGAUAACAGAUUGCAAUUCUGUAGGAGUAAUAUAAAUACAUUUACUAAGGCUU